rnacentral:rRNA from 1 species
GUGUCAGCCGCCGCGGUAAGACGUAGGAGGCGAGCGUUAUCCGGAUUCACUGGGCGUAAAGCGCAUGUAGGCGGUUUGAUCCGUCCGAUGUUAAAGCCCCCGGCUCAACUGGGGGAGGUCAUUGGAGACUAUCAGACUUGAGGGCAACAGAGGCACGUGGAACUCCCGGUGUAGCGGUGGAAUGCGUAGAGAUCGGGAAGAACACCCGUGGCGAAGGCGACGUGCUGGGUUGCGACUGACGCUGAGAUGCGAAAGUGUGGGGAGCAAACGGGAUUAGAUACCCGAGUAGUCC